UACGAAGGGGGCUAGCGUUGUUCGGAUUUACUGGGCGUAAAGCGCACGUAGGCGGAUCGUUAAGUCGGGGGUGAAAUCCUGGGGCUCAACCCCAGAACUGCCUUCGAUACUGGCGAUCUAGAGUCCGGAAGAGGUGAGUGGAACUCCUAGUGUAGAGGUGGAAUUCGUAGAUAUUAGGAAGAACACCAGUGGCGAAGGCGGCUCAGUGGUCCGGUACUGACGCUGAGGUGCGAAAGCGUGGGGAGCAAACAGG
rnacentral:rRNA from 1 species